rnacentral:rRNA from 1 species
UACGGGGGAGCAAGCGUUGUUCGGAUUUACUGGGCGUAAAGGGCGGCGUAGGCGGUCAGCACAAGUCAGUUGUGAAAUCUCCGGGCUUAACUCGGAAAGGAUCAACUGGAUACUGGUGCGACUAGAGUGCAGAAGGGGCAACUGGAAUUCUCGGUGUAGCGGUGAAAUGCGUAGAUAUCGAGAGGAACACCUGCGGCGAAGGCGGGUUGCUGGGCUGACACUGACGCUGAUGCGCGAAAGCCAGGGGAGCGAACGGG